GGGUCCAUGGUCUAGCUCGGUUAUGACGUCGCCCUUACACGGCGAAAAUCCAGGGUUCAAAUCCCUGUGGACCCA
rnacentral:tRNA from 2 species